rnacentral:rRNA from 1 species
AACGAACGCUGGCGGCAUGCCUAACACAUGCAAGUCGAACGAGACCUUCGGGUCUAGUGGCGCACGGGUGCGUAACGCGUGGGAACCUGCCCUUAGGUUCGGAAUAACUCCCCGAAAGGGGUGCUAAUACCGGAUAAUGUCUUCGGACCAAAGAUUUAUCGCCUUUGGAUGGGCCCGCGUUGGAUUAGCUAGUUGGUAGGGUAAAAGCCUACCAAGGCGACGAUCCAUAGCUGGUCUGAGAGGAUGAUCAGCCACACUGGGACUGAGACACGGCCCAGACUCCGACGGGAGGCAGCAGUGGGGAAUAUUGGACAAUGGGCGAAAGCCUGAUCCAGCAAUGCCGCGUGAGUGAUGAAGGCCUUAGGGUUGUAAAGCUCUUUUACCCGGGAUGAUAAUGACAGUACCGGGAGAAUAAGCCCCGGCUAACUCCGUG